CCAGUUUAACGGCCCUAUUCACAAAUCCACUUCAACUUUUUCCUCACAACAUGCAAGCGGCACUAAUAAUACAAUAGAACCUGUCCCUUAAAUAAAUGAAAGAAAACAACAUACACAAGAAUUAUUAUUAACUCUAACAUAAAAUGAAUGUUUAUACUACAAAUUCAGUUUUAUUUUUGAUUUAUUUCAGUAUAAAUCAAUUAUUACUAUUUACUAUUGGGUAUUUUAUUAAGAAGAAUGAAUUUCUGUAACGCUUACAUACGAAGAACAAUAAUGAAAAAAUGAUCUACAAAAUUAAAAGUCUAUUAUCGAGCUCAUAUCGAGCUGUCUAUCUCUUUUGGCGCUGUCGCAAUAUACCCGAUGUGACUCGAGGUGACUACGAAUAUGACCGAGGCGGAGUUGUCGCUCAGAAAAUUUUGCUGAUUUUUUGAGUGACAACACCGCUCUAAAAUUGCAUUCACAUCGGCUGCAUUUCGACAGCGUCAAAAGAGUUAAAAACAAUCGACAAUAUAUCGAACAUAAUCGAUAAUAGAUCAUAGAUAAAUCAUUUUAAUUCAUCGUUAUUAUGCAAGCGUUACGUAAAUGCAGUCUUCUAAUAAAAUAGCCAAUAGUACUUAAGUGUUUUACUGGAAUAAAUCUAAAAUAAAACUGAAUAUGUAUUAUACACAUUUAUUUUACAUAUUGGAGUUAAUAAGUUUUGUGUGUAAUUGUUUUAUUUUACUAUUAUUUAACAGAUUCGUUUGUUCUAGUGCGGCGUCCAUGUUGUGAGGAAAAGUGGUAAUGGAUUCAUAGCUAGGGUAGAAAAACUUUUUGGCCGGCGUCCAUCUUGUGAGGAAAAGUGGUAAUGGAUUUAUGGAUAUAUAGCAGAAAAACUGGUAGAAAAUGUGAAAAUAUCAAGUAAAUUGAUGCAGUAGGAUGGAAUUCGGCGCCAACCCUCACUAACUGCACUACUAUUCCGAUGAGAAUUUUUUACAUCACAUCGCUUUCAUAACCCCAGAAUAAGGUUCAAGACUCAAGAGGAUUGGGAGUAUAGACAGGCUAGACAAAGGCAACAACUUUCAAAAGGAUAAUUACGAAGUACAGCAACAUUGAAGAUAACAUUAAUGUCGUUAGGUACUUGGAAUUACAGAGAAGUGAUAAUAGACUAAUCAUCAUCAGCCUCUCUCGAUCCACUGCUGGACAUAGGCCUCUCAUGUUUGUCUCCAAAGAGAGUCAAGUAGACUAAUAGAAUAACAGAUAUAGUGUAAAUACAUGUAAGUAGAUAGGUUAACACCUUGGCUACCGUGUGAGAUGCCAGCAUCUCACACCAAAUGUGACUGUAGUACCGUGUGAGACGCCGGCUUCCAUUGUUAUUAAAUGAUUUAAAAUGCUCUAACGAGAGAGUUUUUAGUUUCUCAUAUUGGUUUCAAAAUAAGAUAAUGAAAUUAUAGUUACUUAUCAUGGUUUUCGAAAAA
rnacentral:lncRNA from 1 species